rnacentral:misc_RNA from 1 species
GAUGAAGAACGCAGCGAAAUGCGAUACGUAAUGUGAAUUGCAAAUUCAGUGAAUCAUCGAGUCUUUGAACGCACAUUGCGCCCCCUGGUAUUCCGGGGGGCAUGCCUGUCCGAGCGUCAUUGCUGCCCUCAAGCACGGCUUGUGUGUUGGGCCCCGUCCUCCGAUCCCGGGGGACGGGCCCGAAAGGCAGCGGCGGCACCGCGUCCGGUCCUCGAGCGUAUGGUGCUUUGUCACCCGCUCUGUAGGCCCGGCCGGCGCUUGCCGAUCAACCCAAAUUUUUAUCCAGGUUGACCUCGGAUCAGGUAGGGAUACCCGCUGAACUUAAGCAUAUCAAUAAGCGGAGGA